AUGGUUUUGGCUUCUCUCCGGGCGGAUUCCUCCCUCCCCUCGUCGUCUUCAUACGAGGAUGGACGCCCUACCUGCCGAUGCUCCCCCAUAUAUACCCCGCUCCUCCAGCCCCACACCACCUGCCGUCGCCGUCGCCGCCGACAAGCCCCUCCUCCGCGUCGCCGACCACCACCCGAGAUCCGCCCUUCCCCGAUGACCAUGCCGGUGGCGCAGGACCCCGUCGGCGCGGGCGCGGACGCCGCCUCGUCCCGCCGCAACCGCCGCCGCCACAAGAAGUCCUCCUCCGCCAACGCCAACGCCGCUGCUUCCGCGGUCCCUGUCCCCGCCCCGGCCCCGGCGCCGCCCACGCCGAUGCAGCGCCUCUUCGACACCAGCCGCGAGGUCUUCACCGGAUCCGCCCCCGGCUUCGUUCCCCCGCCGAUGCCGUCGUCCGCCUCUCCGCAAUCCUCAUUGAAAGAGUUCAUUCUGGGCAGCCGGAGGCGUACGAGUUCAAGAUCGGCGACAAGUUUUUUCGGAGGUCCGGAGACCCACCCCUGGACCAAGUUAUCGAGAUGCUACAGAAGCACAAGGAUAAGUCUCAAGAUGAAAUCUAGCUAGCUGGCUACAAAAUCCAAGGGCAGUAGUAUUUCAUAAGAAGUGGUGUGUGACAACACGUCCGAUGCUUCGGUCCUGAAGCUCUUUGGGAAGACAGUUGUUGUGAACAAAUCACAUCAGCUGCCAAGCCGACGGUGGUGAGGACACCGAGUUCGUCAAGGAGGAGCAGGGAUGGCGCAGGCGAUGGAGGAGUGGUACCAGCAGAUGCCCAUCAUCACGCGCUCCUACCUCAUCGCCGCCGUCCUCACCACCGUCGGCUGCACCCUCGAGAUCAUCUUGCCGUACCACCUGUACCUGAACCCCAAGCUGGUGGUGCAGCACUACCGGAUCUGGCGCCUUGUCACCAACUUCCUCUACUUCCACAAGAUGGGUGCCGAUGAGUAGAGGCUGGUUGAAUCCUUGAUGUCCUACAUUGCCGGAAACCCUAGAAUGUCCGACACUGAAUUCGUCAAGCUCAAGCUCACACUCAAGAUCAGUAUGAACCAAGAUUUGAGAUUUGGAAGCUGGGAAGCUGGGGAAUGUGAAGUUUGAAGAGACCUGGAGUAUCUAGACUGAUUGCCAUUUGUAUAUGUGUUAUAUGAUGAUGUAACACACUGAUUCUGCUAUUGUAUGAUGUAUCAAACUGAUUUUGGC
rnacentral:rRNA from 1 species